GACGAACGCUGGCGGCGUGCUUAACACAUGCAAGUCGUACGGUAAGGCCCUUUUCGGGGUGUACGAGUGGCGAAAGGGGGAGUAACACGUGUGUAACAUGUCCACAACUUUGGGGUAACGCUAGGAGACUGGUGCUAAUACUGGAGAUGUGCGCCUGCUGCGUGGGGGGGGGGGGGGAACUUCGGCGGUUGUGGAUGGACUCGCGGCCUAUCAGCUUGUUGGUGGGGUAGUGGCGUACCAAGGCGGCGACGGGUAGCCGGCCUGAGAGGGUGACCGGCCACAUUGGGACUGAGAUACGGCCCAGACUCCUACGGGAGGCAGCAGUGGGGAAUAUUGCACAAUGGGUGGAAGCCUGAUGCAGCAACGCCGUGUGCGGGAUGACGGCCUUCGGGUUGUAAACCGCUUUCAGCAGGGACGAAGCUUUGUGUGACGGUAGCUGCAGAAGAAGCACCGGCUAACUACGUG
rnacentral:rRNA from 1 species